GUGAAUCAUCAAAUCUUUGAACGCAAAUUGCGCUUCCUAGCAUCCCGGGAAGUAUGCCUGUUUGAGGGUCAGUAUUAACAAAAAAAUCGGUUUGGUUGCAAAUUGUGACGUUUCCGGAGUUUGGGCUAUCCUAACUUUUUGGUUUAGGGGGCUUAAAAUUACCCUUUUUGCGCAUUUUUUAACGUACAAAAAUUUUUUUUUUUUUUGUUUUUUUUUUAUUCCAAAAUUUUUUUUAAUUUCGUUCAC
rnacentral:misc_RNA from 1 species